GGUGGUUACUGGGUGACGCACCCUGGAAUCGGGCUCCCUCCUCAGGUUCUGGGGUGCAUCACCCAAGAACCGCU
rfam:Myotis davidii contig21845, whole genome shotgun sequence.